rnacentral:rRNA from 1 species
AUUGAACGCUGGCGGUAUGCUUAACACAUGCAAGUCGAACGAUGAGAAAGAGCUUGCUCUUUCGAUUAGUGGCGGACGGGUGCGUAACGCGUAGGAAUCUACCUAUUAGUGGGGGACAACUUAGGGAAACUUAAGCUAAUACCGCAUACGCCCUACGGGGGAAAGAAGGGGAUCGCAAGACCUUUUGCUAAUAGAUGAGACUGCGUAGGAUUAGCUAGUUGGAGGGGUAAAAGCUCACCAAGGCGACGAUCCUUAACUGGUUUGAGAGAAUGAUCAGUCACACUGGAACUGCGACACGGUCCAGACUCCUACGGGAGGCAGCAGUGGGGAAUAUUGGACAAUGGGCGAAAGCCUGAUCCAGCAAUACCGCGUGUGUGAAGAAGGCCUUAGGGUUGUAAAGCACUUUCAAUUGGAAGGAAAACCUCGAAGCUAAUACCUUCGAGUUUGACAUUACCUUUAGAAGAAGCACCGGCUAACUCCGUGCCAGCAGCCGCAGUAA